UACGGGGGGGGCAAGCGUUGUUCGGAAUUACUGGGCGUAAAGGGCUCGUAGGUCGCCAACUAAGUCAGACGUGAAAUCCCUCGGCUUAACCGGGGAACUGCGUCUGAUACUGGAUGGCUUGAGUUUGGGAGAGGGACGCGGAAUUCCAGGUGUAGCGGUGAAAUGCGUAGAUAUCUGGAGGAACACCGGUGGCGAAGGCGGCGUCCUGGACCAACACUGACACUGAGGAGCGAAAGCCAGGGGAGCGAACAGG
rnacentral:rRNA from 1 species